rnacentral:tRNA from 1 species
GAGAAAUUAGUUAAUUCAUAACAUUACUUUGUCAAGGUAAAAUUAUAAGCUAGAACCUCAUAUUUCUUU